UUUUCUGUCACAUACCCUCCAUUUAUUAGAGAGAGGCAGAAAUGAUCCUGUGCCUAAAGUUUUUAUUCUUACUUCUACUCCUUGGAGGUGUCCAAUCUCAAGUCCAGUUGGUGGAAUCUGGAGGGGAUGUGAGAAGACCUGGAGAGUCCCUCCGUCUCUCCUGCCAAGGUUCUGGAUUCACCUUCAGCAGCUACGGCAUGAGCUGGGUGAGACAGGCUCCAGGAAAAGGACUGGAAUGGGUGGCACACAUAAGCAGUGGUUUAAGUACUUACUACUCAGACAAAGUGAAGGGGCGCUUCACCAUCUCCAGGGACAAUGCCAAAAGCCAGAUGCAUCUGCAAAUGAACAAUCUGAAACCAGAGGACACAUCUGUCUAUUACUGUGCUGGAUACACACAGUGA